rnacentral:rRNA from 1 species
AGUGAACGCUGGCGGUGUGCCUAACACAUGCAAGUCGAACGGCAGCACAGUAAGAGCGUGCUCUUACGGUUGGCGGGUGGCGGACGGGUAAGGAGUACAUAGGAAUCUACUUUUUCGGGGGGGAUAACGGAGGAAAACUUACGCUAAUACAGCAUAUGUCCUACGGGUGAAAGCAGGAGAGCUUCGGACCUUUGGCGAUUCAAUUAGCUGAUGUCGGGUUAGCUAGGUGGUAGGGUAAGGGCCCACCAAGGCGACGAUACGUAGCAGGUCUGAGAGGAUGAUCAGCCACACUGGAACUGAGACACGGUCCAGACUCCUACGGGAGGCAGCAGUGGGGAAUAUUGCGCAAUGGGCGCAAGCCUGAUGCAGCCAUGCCGCGUGAGUGAAGAAGGCCUUCGGGUCGUAAAGCCCUUUUGUUGGGGAAGAAAAGCUGCAGGUUAAUCCCCCGAUGUUCUGACGGUACCCAAAGAGUAAGCACCGGCUAACUUCGUG